AUUUAUAAACUCACAACAAUGUGCCUUACUACCAUUGAUAAUAACAAUGCUGUGUACCUGCUAAUUUCUUUGAAGUUGUUUUAAACAAAGUAACUCAUAACUAAAUACUUUAUUUAUAAUAAGUAAACAAAUAAUAAAAUCUCCUUUCAGUAUUGAUGUUCGUAAAUUGCUUGCUUUUGAUGAUGUUUCAGUGUCAUUCCACUUCGAAAUUAUAAAUAACGAUUCAAUUAGGUACACAAAAAGCUCAAGAAAAUCAUUGACAGCAUAAAAACGUUCAACUCAUUUAGUCGCACAUAAUUGUUUUAAUGAUUUUUUAGUUAUACAUUUUUGACUUUCUUCGAUUUGACUUUUCAACACAUCUUUUCGCUUUGGAAGAUGAAUAAGAAUUAGCAAGGUUUAAAACAUGAACAGCACAAUGAACAAACGUCGCAAGCGGAUAACUUUGGUGAAUAAGAGAUUGAGCUCCGUUAAAUUGACCAGACAUAGAAGCACAUCCAUCGUAACACUGUCCUCUAAGUAGUAUCUGUUGUAGGCACAAACUGAAGAAUUCUUCCUUGAUAAUCAUAUUUUCAACAUCUAAAUAUCGAACACACAAAGUUACUUGUUCGCUUCCACCAAUGUCGGCCGUUUCAUCAGCAAGUAUUUUGAAACAUCUUUGGGCAUUUAUGUUUGUUACGAUUUUAUUUAAAAUAAUUUUAU